GACGAACGCUGGCGGCGUGCUUAACACAUGCAAGUCGAACGGUGAAGGGACCGGUUUUUGCUGGUUCUGGAUGAGUGGCGAACGGGUGAGUAACACGUGAGUAACCUGCCCCCUUCUUCUGGAUAACCGCAUGAAAGUGUGGCUAAUACGGGAUAUUCUGCGCCUGCUGCAUGGUGGGUGUGGGAAAGAUAUUGUUUCGGUGGGGGAUGGGCUCGCGGCCUAUCAGCUUGUUGGUGGGGUGAUGGCCUACCAAGGCGGUGACGGGUAGCCGGCCUGAGAGGGUGGACGGUCACACUGGGACUGAGACACGGCCCAGACUCCUACGGGAGGCAGCAGUGGGGAAUAUUGCACAAUGGGCGCAAGCCUGAUGCAGCGACGCCGCGUGAGGGAUGGAGGCCUUCGGGUUGUAAACCUCUUUCGCCAGUGGAGCAGGCCUGUCCCUUUUGUGGGUGGGUUGACGGUAGCUGGAUAAGAAGCGCCGGCUAACUACGUG
rnacentral:rRNA from 1 species